AGAGUUUGAUCCUGGCUCAGGACGAACGCUGGCGGCGUGCUUAACACAUGCAAGUCGAACGGAAAGGCCCCUUUGGGGGUACUCGAGUGGCGAACGGGUGAGUAACACGUGAGUAACCUGCCCUUGACUUCGGGAUAACUUCAGGAAACUGGGGCUAAUACCGGAUAGGAAUCCUUGCUGCAUGGUGGGGGUUGGAAAGCUUCGGCGGUUUUGGAUGGACUCGCGGCUUAUCAGCUUGUUGGUGGGGUAGUGGCUUACCAAGGCUUUGACGGGUAGCCGGCCUGAGAGGGCGACCGGCCACAUUGGGACUGAGAUACGGCCCAGACUCCUACGGGAGGCAGCAGUGGGGAAUAUUGCACAAUGGGCGGAAGCCUGAUGCAGCAACGCCGCGUGCGGGAUGACGGCCUUCGGGUUGUAAACCGCUUUCAGCAGGGGCGAAGCUUGUGGUGACGGUACCUGCAGAAGAAGCACCGGCUAACUACGUGCCAGCAGCCGCGGUAAUACGUAGGGUGCGAGCGUUGUCCGGAUUUAUUGGGCGUAAAGAGCUCGUAGGCGGCCUCUCAAGCGGGAUCUCUAAUCCGAGGGCUCAACCCCCGGCCGGAUCCCGAACUGGGAGGCUCGAGUUCGGUAGAGGCAGGCGGAAUUCCCGGUGUAGCGGUGGAAUGCGCAGAUAUCGGGAAGAACACCGAUGGCGAAGGCAGCCUGCUGGGCCGCAACUGACGCUGAGGCGCGAAAGCUAGGGGAGCGAACAGGAUUAGAUACCCUGGUAGUCCUAGCCGUAAACGAUGGAUACUAGGUGUGGGGGGCUCCGCCCUCCGUGCCGCAGCCAACGCAUUAAGUAUCCCGCCUGGGGAGUACGGCCGCAAGGCUAAAACUCAAAGGAAUUGACGGGGGCC
rnacentral:rRNA from 1 species